rnacentral:rRNA from 1 species
AAUACUUGGUGGCGACCGGCGCAAGGGUGCGUAACGCGUGAGCAACAUGCCCGUAUCAGGGGGAUAAUCCAUGGAAACGUGGUCUAAUACCCCAUAGUAAAUUUUUGGGGCAUCUCAAAGAUUUUAAAGCUUUGGUGGAUACGGAUUGGCUCGCGUGACAUUAGCUAGAUGGUAAGGUAACGGCUUACCAUGGCUACGAUGUCUAGGGGUUCUGAGAGGAAGGUCCCCCACACUGGAACUGAGACACGGUCCAGACUCCUACGGGAGGCAGCAGUGAGGAAUAUUGGACAAUGGAUGGAAAUCUGAUCCAGCCAUGCCGCGUGCAGGAAGACGGCCCUAUGGGUUGUAAACUGCUUUUGUAUGGGAGCAAUAAGAUCUACGUGUAGAUUGAUGAGAGUACCAUACGAAUAAGCACCGGCUAACUCCGUGCCAGCAGCCGCGGUAAUACGGAGGGUGCAAGCGUUAUCCGGAUUUAUUGGGUUUAAAGGGUGCGUAGGCGGUUUGAUAAGUCAGCGGUGAAAUAUUUCAGCUUAACUGGAAGGGUGCCGUUGAUACUGUCGAGCUUGAAUUUAGUUGCUGUGGGUGGAAUGUGUGGUGUAGCGGUGAAAUGCAUAGAUAUCACACAGAAUAUCGAUUGCGAAGGCAGCUCACAAAGCUAAUAUUGACGCUGAUGCAC